UGCCAGCAGUGAACAAUCUGAAAAAGAAAUCAAGAAAGUAAUCCCAUUUACAAUAGCUACAAAUACAAUCAAACAACUAGGAAUUAACUAAAGAAACAAAAGAUCUCCACAAUGAAAACUAUAAAACACUGACAAAAGAAAUUGAAGAGGCGUUCUCUAGAGGUGACUUGCUGGGAGAGUGUCCCUGGCUUUGAAUCCCUGUUGCCACCCUGCAGUCGGUGGCCUCCUCCCGGAGCAGAGCAAGGUCAGGCGGCCCCUGCUUGAGUCCUAUGUCGCCAUGGCCACUGUUCCUGAGUUGCUGCAGCAGCAGGAGGAGGACCGUAGCAAGCCAAGAUCUGUAUCUGUGGACGUGAAUGUUGAUCCCUCGCUUCAGAUUGACAUACCUGAUGCGCUCAGUGAAAGAGAUAAGGUCAAAUUUACGGUGCACACAAAAACCACACUGCCCACAUUUCAGAGUCCAGAGUUUUCUGUUACAAGGCAACAAGAAGACUGUGUGUGACUACAUAACACUCUUUUUGAAAGAACGGUCUAUGCUGGGCUUAUUAUUCCGCCUGCUCCUAUGAAGCCUGACUUCGAUGGUCCUUGAGAUAAAAUGCAGAAACUGGGAGAAGAUGAAGGGUCUAUGACCAAAGAAGAAUUUACGAAGAUGAAAUAAAAACUGCAAGCUGAGUAUCUCGCUGUUUUUAAGAAGACUGUGUCCUCCCAUGAAGCCUUUCUUUAGUGGCUUUCUUCUCACCCUGUUCUCAGUAAAGAUCGCAACUUUCAUGUUUUCCUGGAAUAUGAUCAGGAUCUAAGUGUUAGGUGGAAAAAUACUAAAGAGAUGUUUGGUGGCUUCUUCAAAAGCGUGGUGAAAGUGCUGAUGCAGUCCUUUUUACUAGAGUUAAGGAGGUAGAUGACUUCUUUGAGCAAGAGAAUAACUUCCUUAUUAACUGUUACAAUAGGAUCAAAGAUUCUUGUGUGAAAUCUCACAAAAUGACCAGAUCUCAUAAAAAUGUUGCCGACGACUAUAUUCACACUGCAGCCUGCUUACAUAGCCUGGCUUUAGAAGAGCCCACAGUCAUCAAAAAGUAUCUGUUGAAGGUUGCUGAGCUAUUUGAAAAACUUAGGAAAGUAGAGGGUCGAAUCCCAUCAGAUGAAGAUUUAAAGCUAACACAGCUCCCCCGAUUCUACAUGCUCAACAUGGAGGCUGCUAAGGAUCUCUUAUAUAGAUGCACCAAAACCCUCAUUGACUAUGAGAACUCAAACAAAGCUCUGGAUAAGGCCCAGUUUAAAGAGCAAAGACAUCAAGUUGGCUGAGGCACACCAGCAGGAGUGCUGCCAGAAAUUUGAAUAGCUUUCCAAAUCUGCAAAAGAAGAACUGAUAAAUUUCAAACGGAAGAAAGUGGCAGCAUUUAGAAAGAAUCUAAUUGAAAUGUCUGAAAUGGAAAUAUAACAUGCAAGGAACAGUGUCUCCCUUUGGCAGAGCUGUAUUGACUUGUUCAAGAAUAACUGAUAUGCCUUCACUCUGAAGAAAAGAAAUGUAUGUGAAAGAGAGCCAAGCAUCACUUGCACUUAAAUCAUUACCACGGAAGAUUUAUUAUCUUCAACUUUAGUUUAAAAUUAUGUGAAUAAACAUUUUGAUUUCUGCAAAUCAAACAUUUAACCAUGUUGGUUUAAAACUAUUAUUGCUUGCUACUUGGACAUAACUAAUUUUUCCUUGUGCAUUUAAUACCUCUGGGCAGAAUCCAAAUACUGAGUUCUCUUGUAGUACAUCUUUAGUUACUAAGAAAGCGUGUAGGAGACAUAUGCCUUCUGGAAACACGUAGAAGCAAUCACCUGGCCCAUGUCCCUACAAACCCAUGAAUGUCAGGGAAGUGCCAGUUACAGCAGGUGAUUCAGCUACUUGAGGCAAGUAACAGACCUUUUAUUCCUCGCUGAAGGUGGGGUUUGUGUUUUUGUUUUGUCCACUGUUACUCCCCUGGUAGUCAUCUGGUGUUUGUGCUAUAACAACAGCAAGAAAAUCUCAUUUAUCUUUAUAUACUCUUUGCAUCUCCUUUUUUUUUUUUUUUAGUUGAGAUAUAAAUAUUUGAGGGGAGAAAAGUAUCUAUGGAUAUAUAUGGAAACAGAUAAUGUGGUCUACUUUAUAAGAUGGCCAGAUCUACAUUAGGAAAGGUAUGAGCUCCCUCCCUAGUGGCCAUGGGAGGUGAGGAGGGGGCGGUGUAUGUCUUUGAGCAUUUGUUUUUUAUAAAGUAUAUAAUAAAAUAAUAGUGCUACUAAAAAGAAGAAACAAAGAAA